UGAUUAAUAUAACAAUGUGACUUUUUUUCUUCAGAAAAUUGUUCCUUUCUUUUAUCUUUUGCAGAUGUAGUUAGUACAUAUUAUACAUACUACUUUUUACACAGUAUUUACAUACACUGCUUUUCAUUUCGGCGAUCAUGAAUAGUGUACAAUCUUAAAGUUGAACUGUAAAACUUUUUUGCGUAGGUACACUGAUUAACAGAUACAUAGAUAUGAGGGAAGUAAUUGUAAGAGUUUUAUAUAAUAAUAAAAUUAGAUUGUGAAUAAAGAUAUUCUGAUAACGCUCUGUCAACCAGUACAAAACGCAACACUCCACACCCCUGCACACUUAAAACCCAUUAAACAGCGAUAAUACAAAACGUCGUCAUUUCAUCGUCAUCGAUGUAGAUCCUAAUCAAAAUUAUAUUGAAAAACAAUUAGAUGGGAUCUUGUGUCGUGUGCAGCUACAUCUUAUAAAAGGAAGGCCCAUUCUAUAGCCUGGUGACCGUAUCCGCUCCUCUAUCGCCGACAAUGAGUCUGUGUGCGCCUUGUUUUCUCCUCGGGAUCGGCGUACUGCUUGUGAUACAUAGGGUAGAUGCUGCGAAUGUUGUCGGAUCCCUGGAUCCUUGCAGUUCAAAUCCUUGCGUGAAUGGUGGGACCUGUGAAGUCAGGGGCGCUUCCUUCAAAUGCGCGUGUCCAUACUACGCUAUCGGUCCUACCUGUGAAAACAUAGCUAGAGGGUGCUCUUAUCCACACCAAGACUGUUUAAAUGGCGGUACCUGUCUUCGGGUCUCUGUGCCCUCUGGAGUCUGUAAAUGCCUUCCUGGCUGGUAUGGCGAGAUAUGUCGAGAUUUCGUAGCACGACACGACUUUGAUACCCACGAAGAUUUAACAUAUCAUGGCGAUUUAUCUGUAAAUGAGGUAUAGUGCAUUAGAUCGAAGAGGUAUGAUGUGAAUCGGAAUAUGUUUACAUUGGACUACUCGAUCAGAUUUUGAUCGUAUACUCUUAUGUAUCCGCAUCCACUUAGAGAUAGAAACUGACAGCUUAAAUUCUUUCUUUUGUUUAUAUAUUACACGAUACGGAAAAGAGGGUCAACCGAAAAGUCUCCAUGGAAAAGUUAUACAAACUACUGUUUGUGUCAUUUCAUGAAGUCGUGACGUCAUGACAUAAUACUGAAAAUCAUAACCGGUACGGAGUUAUCUCCCAAACAAAAGAGUUCACCCUCACUCACGACUAUGUUGGACUGGAUGGAAACGACCUUUGUCUGAGUUUCACAUUCAUAGCCGUGACUGAGGAUGCUAGGUUGGAUUUUUUUUGGCAAUUAAACCUUUUGAAUGUACAUAUCCCAAUCUGGAAUAGCGUUGUCUCGGGCCUCGCUACCGGAAAAUGGCACUUCAUCCAGACACCAGUGAACCCAUCAAGAGACUCUGUUCUCGUCAUCAAGGGAUCCACAGUUGAUACAACACUUGCAAUAGAUGACAUUGUUAUUGAAUCAGGAGACUGUAGAACAGCCCAAUAGAUGGAUUAAAACACUAUUAAUUUGGUAUUUCUUUGUCUCUUGACAAGGUGUACUGAUAAUUUACAUGCUCUGAUGUAAAAUUUUACACAAAUAAGUAUAUAUCUUUUUUUUUAGAUCAAGAUUAAAUAUGCAAAUAUUUACUCAGUUCAUUAAAGAACUUGAUUCACAAACCCCACAACAUGGCCCUUAGAAUAUGUAAAGAUAAAAGUAAAUCUUGAAUAGGAGUAUUGUGGUCACAAAUAUGUAUCAGAAUCCGGGGUUAAAAACAUGUUAGAUUUUGAACAUACGAGCACUACCAAAGCUGUAUGCAUAUUAGAACCGAAUAGGGUUCAUUAUUCUAGCUAUUUUGUCACCAUAAACUGGUUAAUUUUUAAUAUUUGAAGUACUUUGAUAAUUUAUAUAUUUUCUAUUAAACAAUAAAAUGCUUUCUUUGUAGUUUCA